UUUGACGUUAGCGACAGAAGAAGACACCGGCUAACUCCGUGCCAGCAGCCGCGGUAAUACGGAGGGUGCGAGCGUUAAUCGGAAGUUACUGGGCGUAAAGACGCAUGCAGGUGGUUUGUUUAAGUCAGAUGUGAAAGACCCGGGGCGUCAACCUCGGAAUAGCAUUUGAAACUGGCAGACUAGAGUACUGUAGAGGGGGGUAGGAAGUUUCAGGUGUAGCGGUGAAAUGCGUAGAGAUCUGAAGGAAUACCGGUGGCGAAGGCGGCCCCCUCGGACAGAUACUGACACUCAGAUGCGAAAGCGUGGGGAGCAAACAGGAUUAGAUACCCCUGGUAG
rnacentral:rRNA from 1 species